UAAAAAAUAAAAUAAAAUAAAAUCUUUUUGGAACUUUUUCUCUGAUCAGCUGUCCUGUCUAUUUUUCUCUUAAGAAAUUGGAUGACUGAACUCUUUCUUUUCCUUGCUUCAUAUAGGUCAGACAUGCUCUAUUGUGGUUUUGACAUUGUUGUUCUAUAUUGUUUACAAGUCUGGAAAUAAAAUUUUAUGCUCAUUUUCUUUUGAUCAGUAUAGAAUCCAAAUUCCUGAAUGCCUUAGGAUUAAUGGGAAUGGAGAAAGGGAGUCUACUGUGUCCCUGGUCCCUUUAAUUUGGAAGGAACCUAGUACGCUAUGGAAACUCCACCCCUCCAUCCCUCUCAUCUCUUGCAAAAGAACCUUUGCCCCCCCUUCCCUAGGUUUCAUUUCUGGUUCUGUUAUUGCUUUAACAUGAGAUGUCAUCCGCCAUAUUUUAUAUACUGAAUUGGCCAUAACCAUUUUUGGAUAGAAUAGAAAAUGACAGUUUUAUGUGACAUGGGCGUUGUUUAAAAUUGUUGAUCUUCUACAACCCAUUUCGCAUAGCAUGCUUAAACUCUAUAGAUCAUAGAUUAAAUUUGUUAAUUUAUAUUUGCGCUUAAUUUUAAUAAAAUCCUUGUCCAUGCUAAGAGCACUACAAGUCUACACCUAAUCAAUAAGGUGAGUGCUAAGUACGGUGCAUGUAUAUUACAUGUUAAUCAUUUAUUGGUGUAAAACUCUUAAAUUACAUAACCAUUAUUGAAUCUCUUACACUUGUUAGAUUCUGCGUUAAUUCCUUGUGGAAAAAAAAAGUUGAUAUUCCUGAACAGGCAAACAAUCACAUGUUACUCUAUGUAUAUUCGUGUUGGGAGAUUGUGGUGCCAUUAAUUUCUAUCAUAUGAUUUUUAACAUAGGAAAAGUAUAUACAUUAUUGAAGAGUUGACUGGGCUCAAUCUGGCCUUAAAUUAAACCAUCCUUCCAUGUAUGCCCCUGAACUUUUGUGCAUUGGCAAUUUCAGAUCAGGGCUGUAGCCAGUGAAACGAGGGGGAACAGACUGUAACCUGUAAUUAAUUUAAUACCCUCAUUUUAAGCGCAC
rnacentral:misc_RNA from 1 species